rnacentral:rRNA from 1 species
AGAGUUUGAUCCUGGCUCAGAACGAACGCUGGCGGCAGGCUUAACACAUGCAAGUUGAACGGGAUUUGUAUGGUGCUUGCACCAUGUAAUGAGAGUAGCGCACUGGUGAGUAACACGUGGGAACAUACCUUGAAGUGGGGGACAACAGUUGGAAACGACUGCUAAUACCGCAUAAUCCCUGAGGGGGAAAGAUUUAUCGCUUUAAGAUUGGCCCGCGGAAGAUUAGGUAGUUGGUGGGGUAAAGGCCUACCAAGCCGACGAUCUAUAGCUGGUCUGAGAGGACGAACAGCCACAUUGGAACUGAGACACGGUCCAGACUCCUACGGGAGGCAGCAGUGAGGAAUAUUGGGCAAUGGAGGAAACUCUGACCCAGCCAUGCCGCGUGAGUGAAGAAGGUUUUCGAAUUGUAAAGCUCUUUCGGAUGGGACGAUGAUGACGGUACCAUCUAAAGAAGCCCCGGCAAACUUCGUGCCAGCAGCCGCGGUAAUACGAAGGGGGCAAGCGUUGUUCGGAAUUACUGGGCGUAAAGGGUGUGUAGGCGGAUUUGUAAGAUAGUGGUGAAAUACCUGAGCUCAACUUAGGAAUUGCCAUUAUAACUAUAGAUCUGGAGUGACAGAGAGGAUAUUGGAAUACCCAGUGUAGAGGUGAAAUUCGUAGAUAUUGGGUAGAACACCAGUGGCGAAGGCGAGUAUCUGGCUGUCAACUGACGCUGAGGCACGAAAGCAUGGGGAUCAAACAGGAUUAGAUACCCUGGUAGUCCAUGCUGUAAACGAUGAAUGCUAGUUGUCGGCAAAAGCCGGUGACGCAGUUAACGCGAUAAGCAUUCCGCCUGGGGAGUACGGUCGCAAGAUUAAAACUCAAAGGAAUUGACGGGGACCCGCACAAGCGGUGGAGCAUGUGGUUUAAUUCGAUGCAACGCGAAGAACCUUA